AUUAAGCUUAUUUUUUAGUUUCUACAUGAAAUAUUUUGACUCUUCGUCUUAUUUGAAAUUUUCUUACGAUUAAUAUUUUUAUUGUUAAUGGAUGGUAAAACAUGAGUAGUACUUUAUGCGUGACUAAUUUUUUUAAGUUUUUAUAUAAUUUUUUAAAUAAGACAAAUGGUCAAAGCGUUGCACACAGAAAUC
rnacentral:pre_miRNA from 1 species